AAGAAAAAAAUCCAAUCUGCAAUCAGCCAAUUUUGUUCCCUUUUCUUCGGAUAAAAACUAGUCGCAAUUUAUUGUAAACGCUUGUUUAUUGCAUUUUUGUUCCGGGCAGUGCCAAUUAGAGUAAAACAUCAGUCGGAAGAUACUCUCAAAUCAGUGUUGUAUGCCGAAUGGAUCGGUUUGAUAGUGAACCACUGACGACGAAUGUGCUGAACGAGAAUGGUAACGGUUUCUCGGUGGGUAAACGAAAACGAGCAACAACAACCAUCCGGUCAGUGCCGAUGUUACAAGGAUCGAGUAUCCUUGUAAAAACAAAACGCUCCUCGCUCCUCGAAAAAAAUUCCUCAAUGUUCCCUGCGCAGCUGUGUCCAGCACCUAUGGGAAUUUUAACGGAGAUGUUCAAUAGGAUGUAGGAAUUGCCGCCGUGUACGUGAUCGGAUCCACAGAGGAACGAUGUCUAAUAGAGCAGCCGGGUGAAACGAUGUGGCCAUUUAAGAAGAAAAUCAGUGUUCUGAACUUAGCUUUGAUAGAAUAAAUUCAUAGCAUCUAAAA